AUGCGGCUCCACGACGCGCCGUCGCGGGCGGGCGGGAGCGGGCGCGUGGCCGCCGUGGGGAUGCCCCCGCCGCGGGCCAUGUCCGCCGCGCCCUCCUUCUCCGGGGCCGCCGCCGCGUCGUCCGCGUCCGCGCGGAAGCCGCCCGAGCCGCUCCGCCGCGCCGUCGCCGACUGCCUCUCCCCGCCGGCCCCGCACACCCACGGCCCCGCCGCCGCCGCCGCCGAGGCCUCCCGCACCCUCCGGGAUUAUAUAGCUAACCUAUCAACCAUUGAUAUGGCUUAUAAUGUCCUGAUUGACCAUGCUCUUGCAGAAAGAGAUCGGAGCCCAGCAGUUGUCCCAAGAUGCGUGGCAUUGUUAAAGAGAUAUCUUAUCCGGUAUAUUCCAAGGGUGCAAACGCUACGUCAAAUCGACAUCUUUUGUGCAAAUACCAUGGCAAAGUAUGACCCAGUGGCAGGUCACAGAGCAUCAUCAUUUGGCCAGAACAUUGGAUCAUCUGCAGCUUUGCCAAAUUCCUCUCUUGUUGCCCCACCAAUAUCGAACUUUGCUUCAGCAUCUCUUGUGAAAUCUUUAAACUAUGUCCGCUCACUAGUUGCCAGGCAUAUUCCAAAGUUAUCAUUCCAACCAAUUCCUCAGUCUCUGGCAUCAGCCUCUACAAAACAGUCGCUUCCUUCACUUUCAUCAUUUUUGAAUAGGUCCUUACAGUUGAAUCCAGAAGCUGUUACCAACAGAGAACAUCUUGAAUCAAAGGAAUUGCAAACUGCACCCGAUUUAACAUCAUCAGCAAGUGAAAAGGUCGAUGGUGGAGAGCAUGGAUAUGAUACCAAGUAUAUAUCCUUCGACAUUCUAAAUUGGCGAUGGCAUGUAUAUGGUGAACGUCAAACAUCAAGAUCUGCCAAGGAAAGCAAUGAUCUUGCAGGCCUUCAAGAUUUUCAUACACAUGGUUUUCUUGAAGUUGGUGCUGCGGCUCUUCUAGUAGGGGAUAUGGAGGCAAAGAUUAAUGAUCAACAAUGGAAAUAUUCUGUUAUCCAGGAAUUUCCUGAUAUUGAUUUAUUGCAACCUUCAACUUCGACAGCUAGCACUUUUGCGUCAUCGCAGGGUCAUCUGAAAGCAAUAACUGCCUCAAAACGCAUGAAAUCAGGCCCGAGCCAAGUUUGGGUGAACGUACCUGCAAAUACAUUCCAGCCUCGAGCACGUCCCCUUUUUCAGUAUAGGCACUACAGUGAGCAGCAACCCUUGCGAUUGAAUCCUACUGAAAUUUCUGAAGUCAUAGCUGAAGUUUGUUCAGAAACAACUUCAAAUGCAAAUCAGUUUAAUGCUCCAUCAAGAUUGACCACCCAGAGUCGGCAACCUUCAGCGGAUGUGGCAUUUAGUGUCCUCAUUAAACUUGUUAUUGACAUGUAUAUGAUGGACUCUGAGGCUGCUGCUCCUCUGACACUUUAUAUGCUUGAGGGCAUGUUAAGCUCUCAGAAAUCACCUGCCAGAACAAAGGCUUUCGAUCUGAUUCUGAACCUUGGGAUUCAUGCACACCUGCUGGAGCCUAUGAUAGUUGAAGAUGCACCACUUAUUGAAAAAGGUGAUACUACAAGCAACUCUUAUCUGAACAAUGAGUACGGACCCAAUAUGGAUGAACAGAGGGAAGCGGAACCUGAAGAAGAGCAAAGGAUUAGUCCUGCUAUUGAUCAGUUUGAGUCAUGGCUUCUCAAAAUACUAUUUGAAGUUCUCCUUCUCUUGGUUCAGAUGGAGGAGCGCCAGGAGAUCGUGUGGGCAUCAGCUUUAAGUUGUCUAAUUUACUUUGUUUGUGAUGGAGGGAAAAUCAUCAGGAGCAGACUUGGAGGUUUGGACAUAAGGGUUGUUAAGACUCUUCUUGAGAUUAGUGUGGAACAUUCAUGGGCAAAAGUAGUGCACAGCAAGCUCAUUUGCAUGCUGACAAAUAUGCUGUACCAAGUACCAGAUGGGACUCAGAGUGGUGCACUUGAUACACAUUUUGUUCCCGAGCGGAUAGAUCUUCUUGGUGGAGUUGACUAUAUCUGUCUUGAGUAUUCACGAGCCAACUCAAAGGAAGAGAAGCGGGAUUUGUUUUUUGUUCUUUUUGACUAUGUAGUGCAUCAAAUAAACGAAACAUGCUUGGCUGCUGGUCUUUCAACAUAUACUUACGAUGAUGCUCAACCCCUCGCUUCCCUUCUUGCAUCCGCUGAUGCUCCGGAGGCCUUCUAUAUAUCUGUGAAGCAUGGUGUUGAAGGUGUUGGGGAUAUGCUGACAAAAGCUAUAUCUGCGGCAUUAUCACAGUCAGCAGAAUACGAGCAAUUAAACGCGCUUCUGGACAAGGUUAUCAGGAAACUUGAUGGAACUGUGAGCACAUUUUCAAGGAUUGACAAUGAGUUUGCUUAUAUGAUCCAAGUAACAAAAUCCUUCAAGUGUUUCAGCAGCAUUAAAGAUGGAUCUGAAGAUGGUGACGUUGCAUCUAGGGCGAGGCUUUGCUGGGCUACUUUGCACUCACUUCUUCACUCACAAAUUUCAUCAUACAGGCACCAUGGAUAUAUUUGGUUAGUUGAAUUGCUCCUCUCGGAAGUAAGUGAAGAAACAGAUGGCUCUGUUUGGUCUAAAAUCCAAAACCUCCAGGAGGAAAUUAAAGAUGCUGGAAGCCACGACACCUCGUGUCCAGAAGUUUCGCUGCCCGUUUGUCUGCUGUGUGGGCUUCUGAAAUCAAAACACAACUACAUCAGAUGGGGAUUUCUAUAUGUUUUAGAGAAAUUUCUGAUGCGCUGCAAAUUAUUAUUGGAUGACAGUGACAUGCAGGAGCAUUCAGUUGCUUAUCAUAGCAAAAACCGUCUGGACAAAGCUUUUGCGCUUAUAGAUGUUAUGAGUACUGCUUUGCUACUUGUGGUUCAAAAUAAUGAGACAGACCAUAUCAACAUCUUAAAGAUGUGUGACAUGUUGUUUUCACAAUUAUGUUUGAGGCUUCCGUCCACAAAUGUGAUGCAACUUGGCGGCCUUCAAUCCCUUGGUCAACUUUUUGGUUGCACAACUAAGAACAUCGAGUGCACUUUGGAAACCCUUGCAUCACACAAAACCAUAGGAACGAAGAGCCUUUCCAGGAAUGAGACAUUGCAAGAUACAGGGAUGAAUCAAUCUACUCAAUCCGCUCUGCUCUGCGAAACAUCAAUGGCAGCACUACUUCUGAAAGGUCUUGCGAUAGCUCCGAUGCAGCUCGUAGCCCUUGUGCCAACUUCAUUAUUUUAUGGGCCAUUGAUGGAACUUGAAGGCGCUGCCAGUGAUGAUAUUGCAUUGGGUAUUGCUGUUGGUAGCACAGGAAGAGGCAAUAUCCCUGGUGCUACAUCAGAUAUUAGAGCAGCGCUUCUUUUGCUUUUGAUUGGUAAAUGCACAGCUGAUCCAGAAGCACUUUCGGAAGUAGAAGGCAAUGAGUUCUUCAGGGGGCUUCUAGAUGAUACAGACUCAAGGGUGGCGUAUUAUUCUGCUGCCUUUCUCUUGAAGCGGAUGAUGACAGAGGAACCAGAUGUCUACCAACGGAUGCUUCAAAGUCUCAUUUCAAAAGCUCAACAGUGUAACAAUGAAAAACUUCUGGAAAACCCAUACCUUCAAAUGUGCGGAAUAUUGCAGUUGUCAAAUGAUCUAGGAGUUCAAUGA
rnacentral:rRNA from 1 species